rnacentral:rRNA from 1 species
AGGACGAACGCUGGCGGCGUGCUUAACACAUGCAAGUCGAGCGGAAAGGCCCUUCGGGGUACUCGAGCGGCGAACGGGUGAGUAACACGUGAGCAACCUGCCCCUGGCUCUGGGAUAGCCUCCGGAAACGGGGAUUAAUACCGGACAUUCUCCUUCUUCCGCAUGGUUGAGGGUGGAAAGUUUUUCGGCCGGGGAGGGGCUCGCGGCCUAUCAGCUUGUUGGCGGGGUAACGGCCCACCAAGGCGACGACGGGUAGCC